AAAUCCCUCUUCAAAUCAACAUAUAUGAAGGUUUGGUCCGAACAUUUCGUGUCCAAUCCCUCCCUUAAGGUAAUCCCCCCUCCUCCUUCUCAUCCCCAAAAAAAUCUCAUUUGAUGAUUUCUUUGCAAAUGUGAGAGAACCCUAGCUCUUCAUGAAAUUUGAGAUGUAUAUUAUAUUAUUACAUUUGUUUGUAUGUUAGGAUAAGGGGUUAGGAUUAAGGUUGUUCGGAUGUUUUAUAUGUUGUUUCUACAACCAUACAUUUUAGUCAACCAAACAGCAGGACUAAAACGCCGGGAGAGAUAGCGAAACAUGCCAUCCGGCCAGUACCAGCGGUCCAACGGGGAGCAGCACAGUAAAAGUGAACAACCCAAACGCAAGGGUCUCAAUGUCCGGUCAGCUCUUAGAAAAUGUGUCCAGUUGCCAAAACACGCCUUCUUGUUCAAGGUGAAGCAACCAUGACUUUGUCCGAUAACUAACUUCCCUUUUGACUGAUGUCGGUGUCUAAAAACCAGAUAUCGGAUCGUUGUGCAAACAAUUAUUUUUUGAGAGUUCGGUCAGGAACUAAAGAGACGGUUUCCUCAAGAAUCAUAAUCGCCGGAGAAGAUAAACUAAGAAGGAGAGUACAUGAGAAGUAACCAGGUUCAGGCCACCAUCCUGGUGUAACACCGUAUCCCCGCCUGAUAAUAUUUUUUUUUGAAGCGGAGGCAUAAAAUUUGCCUCAUCAAUUAAAUAAGGGAGGAAUAGAGUUAAACGUUUUACGACACCCUAU
rnacentral:lncRNA from 1 species